UGCCAUAAUGUUCAGAACCACAGGACAGU
rnacentral:piRNA from 1 species